GAUGAAGAACGUAGCGAAAUGCGAUAAGUAAUGUGAAUUGCAGAAUUCCGUGAAUCAUCGAAUCUUUGAACGCAUAUUGCGCCCUCUGGCAUUCCGGGGGGCAUGCCUGUCCGAGCGUCAUUGCUGCCCUCAAGCACGGCUUGUGUGUUGGGCCUCCGUCCUCCUCCCGGGGGACGGGCCCGAAAGGCAGCGGCGGCACCGCGUCCGGUCCUCGAGCGUAUGGGGCUUUGUCACCCGCUCUGUAGGCCCGGCCGGCGCUUGCCGAUCAACCAAAUUUUUAUCCAGGUUGACCUCGGAUCAGGUAGGGAUACCCGCUGAACUUAAGCAUAUCAAUAAGCGGAGGA
rnacentral:misc_RNA from 1 species